rnacentral:rRNA from 1 species
UGAGGAAUCUUGCGCAAUGGGCGAAAGCCUGACGCAGCGACGCCGCGUGGAGGAUGAAGGUCUUCGGAUCGUAAACUCCUGUCGAGCGGGACGAAUCCCGGGAGGGUGAACAAUCCUUCCGGUUGACGGUACCGCUGGAGGAAGCCCCGGCUAACUCCGUGCCAGCAGCCGCGGUAAUACGGAGGGGGCCAGCGUUGUUCGGAAUCAUUGGGCGUAAAGGGCGCGUAGGCGGCCGAGCAAGUCGGACGUGAAAUCCCCCGGCUCAACUGGGGAACUGCAUCCGAAACUGCUUGGCUUGAGUCCUGGAGAGGGUAGUGGAAUUCCCAGUGUAGCGGUGAAAUGCGUAGAUACUGGGAGGAACACCGGUGGCGAAGGCGGCUACCUGGACAGGUACUGACGCUGAGGCGCGAAAGCUAGGGGAGCAAACAGGAUUAGAUACCCCUGUAGUCC